rnacentral:rRNA from 1 species
AUGAACGCUGGCGGCGUGCUUAACACAUGCAAGUCGAACGAAGCACUUUAUUUGAUUUCCUUCGGGACUGAUUAUUUUGUGACUGAGUGGCGGACGGGUGAGUAACGCGUGGGUAACCUGCCUUGUACAGGGGGAUAACAGUUGGAAACGGCUGCUAAUACCGCAUAAGCGCACGGCAUCGCAUGAUGCAGUGUGAAAAACUCCGGUGGUAUAAGAUGGACCCGCGUUGGAUUAGCUAGUUGGUGAGGUAACGGCCCACCAAGGCGACGAUCCAUAGCCGACCUGAGAGGGUGACCGGCCACAUUGGGACUGAGACACGGCCCAAACUCCUACGGGAGGCAGCAGUGGGGAAUAUUGCGCAAUGGGCGAAAGCCUGAUGCAGCGACGCCGCGUGAGCGAAGAAGUAUUUCGGUAUGUAAAGCUCUAUCAGCAGGGAAGAUAAUGACGGUACCUGACGAAGAAGCACCGGCUAAAUACGUG